AUUGAACGCUGGCGGCAGGCCUAACACAUGCAAGUCGAACGAGUGGCGGACUGGUGAGUAUUGUCUGGGAAACUGCCUGAUGGAGGGGGAUACCUACUGGAAACGGUAGCUAAUACCGCAUACCAUCGGAUGUUCCCAGAUGGGAUUAGCUUGUAGGGGGGGUAAAGGCUCACCUAGGCGACGAUCCCUAGCUUGUCCGAUAGGAUGACCAGCAACACUGGAACUGGGACACGGUCCAGACUCCUACGGAAGGAAGCAGUGGGGAAUAUUGCACAAAUGGCGCAAGCCUGAUGCAGCCAUGCCGCGUGUAUGAAGAAGGCCUUCGGGUUGUAAAGUACUUUCGGCGGGGAGGCGUUACGCGCAGAAGAAGCACCGGCUAACUCCGUGCCAGCCGCCGCGGUGAUAC
rnacentral:rRNA from 1 species